GAUGAAGAUCGUAGCGAAAUGCGAUAAGUAAUGUGAAUUGCAGAAUUCAGUGAAUCAUCGAAUCUUUGAACGCACAUUGCGCCCGCCAGUAUUCUGGCGGGCAUGCCUGUUCGAGCGUCAUUUCAACCAUCAAGCCCCCGGCUUGUGUUGGGGACCUGCGGCUGCCGCAGGCCCUGAAAACCAGUGGCGGGCUCGCUAGUCACUCCGAGCGUAGUAAUACAUCUCGCUCAGGGCGUGCUGCGGGUUCCGGCCGUUAAAAAGCCUUAUUUACCCAAGGUUGACCUCGGAUCAGGUAGGAAGACCCGCUGAACUUAAGCAUAUCAAUAAGCGGAGGA
rnacentral:misc_RNA from 1 species